rnacentral:lncRNA from 1 species
CCAGAAAGGGAAAGGAGAGGAGUAAAGAGGAAAAGAGAACAGUGGUGGGUGCCUAUAAAGAGCCACACACCUUGCUGCAUGCUCUAUAUGUGGGCUAUUGUUUGUUCUCACAAUGAAUCUGAGUAGUAGAUAUAGCAUGCCCAUUUUCCACAGUUUUGGAGGAAUGGGAGAGGAGCUUUCCACUCCUCUGAGAGUCAUGUCGAGAGUCUGUCUUAGCCCUCGACCCCUCAGUCUUUGUAGAUCUCAUCCCAGAACCCCGAGGGAGAGCACUCAGGACCGGUUCUGGUUUCCUGGUGUGGCCUGGGCCUCCAUCUGGUUUGGAGGCUAUUUUGAUCCACCGGAUGCAGAUUAGCUGCUGCGAUCUGGGGCUGAGCUGCUGGAGAGAUGCCUUUAUCUACAGAAGGACAAUUUGAAAACUAACUCAAAGCAUCGAGAACAAAUAAAUAAAUUCCUCUUUCCGUUCCCAGCACUCUCCAUCCUAUUUCUACAGGUAAUUGCUGAAGGAUUUUUGCUUCAAACAGGCUCUUGUUUGCAUCAAGUGUGGGGUGCAGCAAAGUGGACUCGGGACUGGCCGAUGUCUGGCCAGAAAUGCCAGGCAAGGGAAACAGUGACUCUAGUGGGGUCAGGAGAGGGGCAUCUGCUGGCCCAGGAGCGCAAGGCAGAGGGACUUCAUUGUCCCCCUUAUAGGUGAGGCGACUCUGAGGCAGGAGGUCCAAGUUUGCUGGACAAUGGCAGAAACAGAAUUCAAACACCUGUCUUCUAGGAGAAGUUCUGGUCUCUCCUCGGUGCUGCGGCUGCCCCGGGAAGAGUUUCCAGGAGCUGACAAGCAUUCAGAUGAGUAAAGAUGGGAUCGGAUUGAGAAAAGGAGAAGGGAGAGCAUAUUCGUUCUCUUUCCACCUCCCUCCCACAGCCUUUCAUGCUGAUCUCAUCUGACGAAGCUGCCUCCUCCUCCCUGGACUCUACAAGCCCCUGUCAUGAUGUUUCUCAGAUCCUGAAUUCCAGCGAAACAGAUGAUACUAACAAGUUUGAAGACCCCCACAGAGGAAUGGAAUCAGUAUGAGAACACAGUUUCUUCAUCUCCCUGUCCCAGAACUUCACCCUGGACUCCUCGACCAAUCAACAAUCUCCACACUUCGGCCCACUCCAAAACUCCUAAAAUCCCAAGCUCCAAACUCCUCUGGGAGAUGGAUUUGAGGCUUCCUCCCGUUUCCUUGUGUGGAAGCCCUGUCAUUAAACCUCUUUCUCUGCUG